rnacentral:rRNA from 1 species
GGACCCGCACAAGCGGUGGAGCAUGUGGUUUAAUUCGAUGCAACGCGAAGAACCUUACCUGGUCUUGACAUCCUGCGAACUUUCUAGAAAUAGAUUGGUGCCUUCGGGAACGCAGUGACAGGUGCUGCAUGGCUGUCGUCAGCUCGUGUCGUGAGAUGUUGGGUUAAGUCCCGUAACGAGCGCAACCCCUAUCCUUAUUUGCCAGCACAUCAUGGUGGGAACUAUAAGGAGACUGCCGGUGAUAAACCGGAGGAAGGCGGGGACGACGUCAAGUCAUCAUGGCCCUUACGACCAGGGCUACACACGUGCUACAAUGGGAAGGACAAAGAGCCGCGAAGCCGCGAGGUGUAG